GAAAGAAAGUGGAAGAAGAAUAAUUAUAACUAGAACGGUACAUUUCCUGAAGAUAAUGUGAGUGGUGCUUAACGUGGCGAAACAGGGACAGGGCACCAAUACUUUCGAGAGCCGCCAGCUUAGGGUGCCAAUACUCUCGAGAGCCGGACAGAUAUGGCAUCAGCACUGUUAGAGCCGGCCGUGUAGUGCACCAAUACUUUUUAGAGCCGACAGUCAGGGGCGCCAGUACUUUUGAGAGCUGGCCAUGACGGGUGCCAAUACUUUUGAGAGCCGGCCAGAUAGGGUGCCAAUACUUCUGAGAGCCGACAAGAUCACGUGCCAAUACAUUUUAGAGCCGAAUGUGUACGGAGGCAAAACUUUUAGAGCUUUCUGUUUAGAGGGCCAAUAUUUUCGAAACCCAAUGCAAGUCUAUGGGAAAUCUUCUGAUUUGAGUUUCCGUAGCAGGAAUUCCGGCAUUCCAAUCGCUUAUAAAAGUCAUAGCACACUUCUCCUCAUUAAGCCAAUCGAUUUGACACCUCAGCCGUCGAUCUCUGACAAACGGUGCGGGACUAGUUACGCGCCGAAAAAAAAGUCGAAGAAGAAGAAUAAUUAUAAUAAUAACUAGACCGGUACAUUUCCUGAAGAAAAUGUGAGUGGUGCUUGACAUGGCGAAACAGGGAUGGAGUGCCAAUACUUUCGAGAGCCGCCCACAUAGGGCGCCAGCAUUGUUAGAGCCAGCCGUGUAGUGCGCCAAUACUGUUUAGAGCCAACCGUCAAGGGCGCCGGUACUUUUGAGAGUUGGCCAUGCGGGGUGCCAUUACUUUUGAGCACCGGCCGGAUAGGGUGCCAAUUUGAAGGGUGUGUUCGUGGCGGCCUGACAAAUUUCGAUAUGAAAUGAAUCACAUUUUUGAGGCCUAAACAUGCUUGUAAACUCAUGCAACUUUGGACACACCUCAAAAGUGGUGAACAAUUACAUCUGAUACAAGGUGUAGAAUUGAGUGUUGCAAAAUGGCUCGAUAGUGCCACCUACAAUAUUUCAAUAAUGUACGCCUAUGUUUCACCUACAUGUACGAAAUUUGGUAAACGUGUAAACUGUGAAACCGUACAGAAAAGUCUCUUGAAGCCAUGCCCUAAACUCAACAGGAAGUCAGCGAUUUUAAUUUCUCUC
ensembl:lncRNA